AGAGUUUGAUCCUGGCUCAGGACGAACGCUGGCGGCGUGCCUAAUACAUGCAAGUCGAACGGUUUAGUUAUCUGUCAUCAGAAGUCAGACGUUGGGUAAGAGCGAAGAGCCUGGGGUAACACCUAGGGGAAGAGUGAAAGGCCUGGCGGCUGGAAGCUGAUGAUGGACGACUGGAUAGUGGCGGACGGGUGAGUAACACGUGAGCAACCUACCUUGUACAGGAGGACAACAGUUGGAAACGGCUGCUAAUACUCCAUAAGACCGAGUCUGCGCAUGCAGGAGCGGUCAAAGGUGAAAGCCGGUACAAGAUGGGCUCGCGUCCCAUUAGCUAGUUGGCGGGGUAAAGGCCCACCAAGGCGACGAUGGGUAGCCGGCCUGAGAGGGUGAACGGCCACACUGGGACUGAGACACGGCCCAGACUCCUACGGGAGGCAGCAGUAGGGAAUAUUGCGCAAUGGGGGAAACCCUGACGCAGCGACGCCGCGUGAGCGAUGAAGGCCUUCGGGUCGUAAAGCUCUGGCUUUGGGGACGAGAAGAAGACGGUACCCAAGGAGGAAGCCCCGGCAAACUACGUGCCAGCCGCCGCGGUAAUUC
rnacentral:rRNA from 1 species